GUGCCAGCUUUGACAGCAUAUACACUAAAGUUAGAAUGACACAGAGAUCAGCAUGGCCUCUGCAAAAGGAUGAGAUGUAAUUUUGUGAAGCAUUCUAAUAUUUU
rnacentral:snRNA from 1 species